UACAGAGGGAUGCUACCGGGCGACCGGAUGCGGAUCUCGAAAGCCUGUCCCAGUUCGGACUGGAGUCUGCAACCCGACUCCACGAAGUUGGAUUCGCUAGUAAUCGCGCAUCAGCCAUGGCGCGGUGAAUACGUUCCCGGGCCUUGUACACACCGCCCGUCAAGCCAUGGGAGCCGGGGGCGCCUGAAGUCCGGGACCGCGAGGACCGGCCUAGGGUAAGACCGGUGACUGGGGCUAAGUCGUAACAAGGUAGC
rnacentral:rRNA from 1 species